UGCAGAAUCCCGUGAACCAUCGAGUUUUUGAACGCAAGUUGCGCCCGAAGCCGUCAGGCCGAGGGCACGCCUGCCUGGGUGUCACGCAACGUCGCCAACAACCCCCUCACCCCCCCUGCGAAGGGGAUGGCGAGGGGUGGCGGAUAUUGGCCUCCCGUGCGCACCCGCUCGCGGUUGGCCCAAAUAGCAGCCCCUUGGCGAUGGCAGCCACGGCACGCGGUGGUUGGAAGCACUGGCUCCUUGAACCGCUGUGGGCGAGCCUCGUCGACGGGGAGCAAGAGACCCUGACGCAAGCGUCCCAACAAAGCGACCCCAGGUCAGGCGGGAACACCCGCUGAGUUUAA
rnacentral:rRNA from 1 species